CUCUCUCUCUCUCUCUCUCUCAGAGAGUGGAAAUGCCUAAAGCACAGACUGGUUUUGUUGCUGCCCAGUAGGGGGCAGUCUCAUGUUCCAGCUUAUAACCCACUACCCUGAGGGUGAGGGGCAAGGCUGUAGCUGUGGGAGGAGUCAAAAGGAAUGGUUGAAGCCGGGAGUCGCCUCGCAGCAACCACACCCCCCCCCCCCCCCCCCCCCCAAUCUCCAAUUGUAAAGACCCCACCCCCCUGGUCCCUACUGAUUGCUGGCCCCCAGGGGCCCCAUUCUCUUCAAAAGACUUCUUCUGUUUUUUUUACAAGUUGAACGUGGACUAGUAUCAGCAAGAUCACGGUCUCAUGAAUGACUGAAAUACGACAUUACAAACAAAUCAAUUUCAAUACCCAGAGAUUUGACUCUGGAUAUUCUAAUUUGACACAAUGUCACAUAGCCGCACACACACACAUACUCACACAAUAUGCACAUAUAGCAACACCAGGGUGUCACACACAUGCACACACUCUUGUCGUUACAGUCACACCCUACAAACUGAGACCUGUUGACCUUCAGCUUAUGUAUAAUAAGAAAACAUACUAUAUCGCAUUCAGAAACAAUACGCAUAUUAAUACAGUGUUUCUCGGUUCAGAGUCACGUUUUAGUUUAGCGAACGGAAAAUGUCCUCUUGUGAAGUCGGUGUCAGUUCAUCUUAUUUUGUCUUUCGACUCUGUCCCGCUGUUUGAGACUUGGCCCUGUCCGCCCGCUGGGCCGGCGCCGGGGUGCCCAGCCCCCCCGUGCUGCAGCAGAGCGCCGCGCCGCGCUUCUGUUUUUCAGAGCGGAACCUUCCGGAAUCGGGGUGCGGCCGGUUCCGUUCCGCUCCGCUCCGCUCCGGACCAGAAGCGAGAGCUGGGAUUUCGGCUUGAGGUCCACGGAAAAGCCCGGAAAAAGGCCUGCGCCUGCGGACAUCAGCAUGGACUGACACGCGGAAGCUGCUUCUCAAAGAACCGCCUGUGUGUUUCAUUGGGGUUGGUGGGGAGGGGGGGGAGGUGUGUCCCUCAUGGAAUAUUAUGAUCUGAUUGGCCCCUCCCUAGAGGUGCUGGGAUGACAGGCGAAGACAGAAGGGGUUUGGAAAAUGGUGGUGAACGGGUAUGAGUCCCCAGUGCAGCACCCCACAGGAGGAAUCCUCAUGUACAGUAGAUAUAUACUUAAUGUAAAUUUAGCUGAUUUUUCAGCAGCCACUGAUGCUUUGAAAGGCCAACGAACCAUACGGUAUUGUACUCGUUUUGAAUAUAUUUGUUAAACUCUGUUGCAGACACUUUCAUAGCCACACUUACUGUCUUAAUGAAUUAUCUCCAUAAUGCAUUGUAUUAUAAAGAUACAGUCCAUCAGUAUAUAUACAUGUGCCAUGCUGUAUAUAGCAGUCAGUAUUAUAGCACUAAAGGUAUAUUUCAUUGGUUCCUCUGUACGGUUGGAUACAGAAGCCAGGGAUAGAUCUAUCCGUAUAUAAUAGUGCAGCUUUGUCCUAUAUCGGUCCACUGCAAACAUCCUACCAGAUUUCUUGCUUCGGACAAUGUGGACAACGGACAAUUUCCACCUCUUCCUCGCUGUAACUUGUGUUUGGACUCAAAAAAUGGGCACUUAUAUUGUACCUGUUUCUCCCCGUCUUGUCUUUUCUCCCAAUAGGUAUUCAGCAUUUCUUAAAAAAAAGAUGAGAGACUCAAAUGGUCAAUACCUGGAUGAUGGUUAUAACAGUAUGAAAACUAAAAUUACCUUUGGACAACAGUGGUUCAUUUUGAGUUUCUUUUAGAAUUCAAUGAAUGGAGUCAGUGAUGGACCUGAAGUGUGUUUUUGCACAGUAAUCAUAGGCCUGAAAAUGUGUUUUACUGCUACUGUCUGAAAAUGUAAUUCAAAGAAUAUGAGAGUCGUUCCAACAGGAAGGUGUGUGCGUGUGUGUGUGUGUGUGUGUGUGCGUGUGCACGUGUGUGUCUUUGGGGUUGCAGGAAGGAGGAUUGGGAUAAGGAUCCCCUCCAUCUGAAACAAACCAAACCUUUUCAUGGUUGGAAAAGAGGCUCCAUUUAGUUAAACAGCAAUGUGACUAAGGACCCACUCCAGUGACACUGAGGGAUAAUCCACUGCCACACAUAGCAGCCCACGCUCAUCACACCCUGUCGGCUUCUGUGCCAGGAUUGGCUGGGAGGCUGAACGAGCCUGGGCCUGGUCAGCACAUGAGACGGGAACAGGGAGUAUGACACGUCAGGCUGCGGUUGGUCAGGUUUCAGGGAAUCAGAACAUUCACAAGCACUUGCCCCUCAUCCUGAUGCACAUAAUCAGGAUGCUGUUCACUGAUCAUUAGGCAGGCAGUAAAGGCGACUGAACAUUUUCUAAAAUCUGAUGUAAUCAGGCCAUGUUGAGAGAGAGACUUUGAUUUUUUCCAUAGGUUAUCAAUUACAGCCUAGUGUGGCACCUGCACUGGCAGCUCUCCUGGGCAACAACCGGGACUCACUAAAUCUGUGUGUGUUUGAGCAGGAACUGGCUGUGGAGUUCUUUAGUCUGUGGUGUAAUGCUGCCAUGGAUACGACCAUCGAUUAGCUGUCCAUACAAAUAUCUGUGAUGUCACGUGCUAAAUAAAAAACUACAUGCGUCGCUUGGUGAUGGUGCAAACUACUCAGAUUGAUGACAGGAGCAGUGUGGCUAUGUCUCAGUUUGUUCAGUAGCCUACAUGAAAAUAAAGGCUUGAGUGAAUAAAUUGCUUUCCUUUAGCCCCCCACCUCCGACCCCCCAGCAGGGGUUGAGGGUGGUGAAGGGUGGCAGUGUGGUUCACAUCCAGGCGGCCUGCCCCCCAGCCCUCAGUCCAUCCGAGUGAUGAAGACCAGUCCAUCUCUGAGGGGCCGAAAGAUCCCUCUUAAGGGCUGGAAAGGGAUGAUAAGGAGAAAGAAGAUAGAAUGGUGGGGUGGAUCUGAGUUCAUUGAACAGGGCUUGAUCCUCAGUCUCUCCAUAUCUCCCCAGGGGGGAGUAAACGUCUGGUGAUAGCCACAAAGCAUGCAGAUGGAGCAGAAGAAGCCAUAACCAAUCAGUGAGUUGUUGGUUUAAAAGACUAAUUUACAGUAAACAGCUCCAGUAAGGUCAGUGCGAGUGAGAGAGUCCCAGAGAGAGAGGCCCUGGUUACAGCAGCACGUCAGAGCGGACCAGGGGUCCCCAGCGGACGAGCGUCCCUUCCAGUGCAGAGUCUGCACCGCGUCCCCCCAGCCGAGAAACACACGGCCAUUUACGCACAGCCGGGGAAACCGCUGCUCCCGGGGAGACUGAUUUACCCUCGCGGGAAAGUAAAGCACCACAAACCCCAUUAAUCUGGGUGUGGCUAUCACUGUAAGCAUAUACGGCCAACCACAGUUUUUCCAGGGAAGAACGAAGCCGUUUUUAUGGAGAUCGCAGGCACCAAGGCAAGGGGCAGUGCUACCAAUUCUCAUUCGUUUAAACCAAAUCCUCAGAUCUGUUCUAAAAGCUUGUUCUUUUGUUCAAAAUGUUAAAGCUAUUUCAGUGUUGUUUUAUGAGUGUGAUACUUGAAGCAUGAUGAGUGAGGUGUGAGUGUCCGCGUGUCAACAGAUGCGUACAUUAUAUUGGCAACCCUGAACGCAGCAGCACAGUCAGUCGAGUACUCCUACACACACUCCUGGAAAGUGCACGUGCACACACACUUACUCAUACACUUACUCAUCGCCAUUACUGUCAACUAAUGUGACUCAAUCACACCGAAACCUCAAUCAUUUCUGCUUUUCUCUCUUAACAGGUCAGAUUGUGUGUGUAACUGAGCAGGGGCAAUACAGGGUAUAUAAUGGAGAGUUGUACCUGAGGGCUGGGAAGAGUAAUUCAACAUCCUGAGCGUUCUGGGAGUCCAACGAAAGAGUUACAGUAGUUGUCAGACGCCUUUCCCAAAUUCUCUCCUGUAAAUAUGUUGACGUAAACAUGUCGUGACACAUGUCAUUUAGAAAAAAUUCUAAAACUAGAAAUAGUAUAAAGCUUUAGGCUAAAUAAAAGUUUCAAUUAUGUCGACAAUA